UGUGUCCUACGGGGGGCAGCAGUGAGGAAUAUUGGUCAAUGGCCGAGCGGCUGAACCAGCCAAGUCGCGUGAGGGAAGACGGCCCUACGGGUUGUAAACCUCUUUUGUCGGGGAGCAAAGCGAACCACGUGUGGAUCAUUGAGAGUACACGAAGAAAAAGCAUCGGCUAACUCCGUGCAAGCAGGCGCGGUAAUACGGAGGAUGCGAGCGUUAUCCGGAUUUAUUGGGUUUAAAGGGUGCGCAGGCGGAGGUGCGAGUCAGCGGUCACAUUGCGGGGCUCAACCCCGUACUGCCGUUGAAA
rnacentral:rRNA from 1 species